AGAGUUUGAUCAUGGCUCAGAAUGAACGCUGGCGGCGCGCCUAAUACAUGCAAGUCGAGCGAGAAGACGUAGCAAUACGUUUGUAAAGCGGCGAACGGGUGAGGAAUACAUGGGUAACCUACCCUCGAGUGGGGAAUAACUAGCCGAAAGGUUAGCUAAUACCGCGUACGCUCCUUGGACUUCGGUUCAGGGAGGAAAGCGAUACCGUGGGUAUCGCGCUCUUGGUUGGGCUCAUGUCCUAUCAGCUUGUUGGUGAGGUAACGGCUCACCAAGGCUUCGACGGGUAGCUGGUCUGAGAGGACGAUCAGCCACACUGGCACUGCGACACGGGCCAGACUCCUACGGGAGGCAGCAGUAAGGAAUAUUGCGCAAUGGGCGAAAGCCUGACGCAGCGACGCCGCGUGGGGGAUGAAGGUCUUCGGAUUGUAAACCCCUUUCGGGAGGGAAGAUGGAACGAGCAAUCGUUCGGACGGUACCUCCAGA
rnacentral:rRNA from 1 species